rnacentral:rRNA from 1 species
AGGCAGAAAUGCGUAGUCGAUGGACAGCAGGUUGAGAUUCCUGCACCCGUAAUGAACAGAACUGUAGUGACACGGAAGGUAAGACAGAGCCGGGAAUGAGAAAACCGGUGCAAGCACAAUAGAUGUGUGGGAGGAAAAACCCCCGCAUAAGUCGAAGGUGUGACGCGGACCGAAAAAGAGUAGGGAAGUUGUUAAGCAAGCCGUCAAGAAAAGCUGCUAUUGUUUCAUUAUGGCCCGUACCGUAAACCGACACAGGUGGAUGGGGAGAGAAUCCUAAGGCCGGCGGAAGAAGUAUUGUUAAGGAACUCGGCAAAAUGACCCCGUAACUUCGGGAGAAGGGGUGCCUGCGAGAGCAGGCCGCAGAGAAGAGGCCCAAGCAACUGUUUAGCAAAAACACAGGUCUAUGCAAAACCGAAAGGUGAGGUAUAUGGGCUGACGCCUGCCCGGUGCUGGAAGGUUAAGGGGAGUGGUCAGGAAACGAAGCCACGAACUUAAGCCCCAGUAAACGGCGGCCGUAACAAUAACGGUCCUAAGGUAGCGAAAUUCCUUGUCGGGUAAGUUCCGACCCGCACGAAAGGCGUAAUGAUUUGGGCGCUGUCUCGACAAUACAUCCGGUGAAAUUGAAGUGCCAGUGAAGAUGCUGGCUACCUGCGCCAGGACGGAAAGACCCCAUGGAGCUUUACUCCAGCUUGAUACUGGGACCCGGUAUUGCAUGUACAGGAUAGGUGGGAGGCUAGGAAAUGUGGACGCCAGUCUGCAUGGAGCCGCUGUUGGGAUACCACCCUUGUGGUGCUGGGUUUCUAACCAGAGGCCGUGAACCGGUCUGGGGACAAUGUCAGGUGGGGAGUUUGACUGGGGCGGUCGCCUCCGAAAGGGUAUCGGAGGCGCCCAAAGGUUCCCUCAGAAUGGUUGGAAACCAUUCGAAGAGUGCAAAGGCAGAAGGGAGCUUGACUGCGACACCGACGGGUGGAGCAGGUACGAAAGUAGGGCUUAGUGAUCCGGUGGAAUUUAAGUGGGAAUGCCAUCGCUCAACGGAUAAAAGCUACCCUGGGAUAACAGGCUGAUCACUCCCAAGAGUUCACAUCGACGGAGUGGUUUGGCACCUCGAUGUCGGCUCAUCGCAUCCUGGGGCUGAAGUCGGUCCCAAGGGUUGGGCUGUUCGGCCAUUAAAGCGGUACGCGAGCUGGGUUCAGAACGUCGUGAGACAGUUCGGUCCCUAUCCGUCGUGGGCGUAGGAUAUCUGGGAGGAGCUGUCCUUAGUACGAGAGGACCGGGAUGGACUGACCUCUGGUGUACCGGUUGGCGAUCAACGCCACGGCCGGGUAGCCAUGUCGGGACGGGAUAAACGCUGAAGGCAUCUAAGCGUGAAGCCCCUCUCAAGAUGAGAUAUCCCAUCGUAAGAGUAAGACCCCUUGAAGACGACGAGGUUGAUAGGGCAGGGGUGGAAGUGCCGUAAGGCAUGGAGCUGACUGCUACUAAUCGGUCGAGGGCUUGAUCAA